rnacentral:rRNA from 1 species
GAUGAACGCUGGCGGCGUGCCUAAUACAUGCAAGUCGAGCGAACAGACGAGGAGCUUGCUCCUCUGACGUUAGCGGCGGACGGGUGAGUAACACGUGGAUAACCUACCUAUAAGACUGGGAUAACUUCGGGAAACCGGAGCUAAUACCGGAUCAUAUAUUGAACCGCAUGGUUCAAUAGUGAAAGACGGUUUUGCUGUCACUUAUAGCUGGAUCCGCGCCGCAUUAGCUAGUUGGUAAGGUAACGGCUUACCAAGGCAACGAUGCGUAGCCGACCUGAGAGGGUGAUCGGCCACACUGGAACUGAGACACGGUCCAGACUCCUACGGGAGGCAGCAGUAGGGAAUCUUCCGCAAUGGGCGAAAGCCUGACGGAGCAACGCCGCGUGAGUGAUGAAGGUCUUCGGAUCGUAAAACUCUGUUAUUAGGGAAGAAAAAAUGUGUAAGUAACUAUGCACGUCUUGACGGUACCUAAUCAGAAAGCCACGGCUAACUUCGUG